rnacentral:lncRNA from 1 species
CCAGGACAGGCUGGGCUCCCAAAAUCCUUCCUAAAAAGGAAUCAGGCUGUGGUGGCCCACACUAUUUUUAGAUAAUUGUGUUGAAAAAUCCCAAGGCACAUGUAGCAUCAUGCAUUUUUUUAUUCAGGAAGAAAAAAGAAAGGGACCUCCCCACUCUUCUCCCCACAGCCACCGCCUGCCCAAAACAGGUCAUGCCCCUGGAGUGGCCUCGCACCGUCCAUCCCCGGAGGGGCAGUAGCCUGGGCCCUGCAGCUGCCCAGCCCUGGGGGUUAGGGCCUUGGGGUUUCUGGCUAGAAACAGGGCUCACCUCGGUCUCCUCCUAAGCCUGGAGCUCUCAGGUGGUGCAAGGCACACGGGGAUCCCCCACAUUGCAGGUGGGGAGACUGAGGCCAGGCUGUACUCAUCUCCAUUACGAGGCCUUUUUUUUUAAAAAAAAAAAACAAACAAAAAAACAAAAAACAGCCUUAUGAAGAUGUGAUUGGCACGUAGUAAAGCGCAAGCAUUUAAAGUAUACAGUUCAAUAUGUCUUGACAUUUGUAUCUAUCCAUGAAGCCAUCGCCACUAUUAAGAGAGGGAUCAUAUCCAUCACCCUCAAAAUGUCUUUAUCAUCUUUGAAACCCCUCCCUCUGGCCCCCCCUCCACCCCCAAGUCUCCUUGCCCCAGGCGCAAUCACGGGUCUGCUUUCCCUCACUCUAGAUUAGUCCACAUUUUCUAGAGUUUUCUAUAAAUGGAAUCACACAGCACGUUCUUUUUUGACUGGCUCCUUCAACUCGUCACCACUACCUGGAGAUUCACCCAUGUUGCUGCAGGCACCAAGCCCCUCAUAUGGACAGAUCACAAUUCGCUUCUCCUUUGAUCUGUUGGUGGACAUUUGGAUUGUGAUCAGUUUUUGGCUAUUACAAAUAAAGCUGCUAUAAACAUUUGCGGAGAAGUCUUUGUAUUUGAGGGGACUGCAGGGAGGCCGGGCUGAGUCAGCGCCACUGCCGCUGCUGCGUG